UAUGGACUAAUAGAUUAUAUUUUUUUUGAACAUAUUUGUUACAUGUUGUUCUCAGAAACCUUUCAAAUAUUUUUGUAGCAUCUUUGGGUCAUUAGACAUGCUCCGUGUCGCUUUUUAAGAUGAGACAAUAUAGAAAGUGAAUGAGUGGUAAUAAAGCUACCAAACUUCCAUAGAUGAUAUUCGUUCAAAGUGGAUGAGUGGUAAUAAAGCUAUCAAACUUGUAGAAUUUAUUGCGGCAUGCCUCUUCAGUGAUCGACCACGUCAUCAACACAGUCAAUCUGAGGGCACGACUAACAGUGGAAUUCUCACUACUAUUCUAGAGGAAACCAGAUAUAUGCUAGAGAAAACCCAAUGCCUAACAAGAAAAUUAAGUAGUUGUGUGAAAGCAUCAGGUACACAACAUUUGAUCUAGUGUGCCGCAUGAUCACAUGAUAUUGUAACACUUGUAAUUUUGUAUCUUACUAAACCUAUUGUACGCUUUUUUUCAUGUGUUUAAUUAGUCAUCUUCCCUUUGGUUA